CAAUUAUUGGUGUGGUUCUGGUCACACAUAACCAGUCUAGAAGCUGUGAAAAAUGAAGAGUGACCAAGUGAAUCCUAGGAAUUAAGGAACCGGUUGGAGCAAAAACAAGCAUCAGGAGUUAUUUGAGAACAUCGGCUGUAAACCUUGACUGCCCAGAAAAGACGCCCGCUGAAGGCAAUUGACCACCCACCUUCCGAUUGAACUAGUAUAAAAGGGAGACACCCUCAAAUGUCAGAUUCUCACUUGGACCCGAACUUCUGAGAAGUACGAAGCUCACCAGACCUUUCGAAGAAAGCAUUUACAGUAAUAGCCAUAGAGGCACCUGUUUACCUGGUUGGUACCCCAACACUUUGCAAGAGGAAUGAGUGUUCCUUCUAC